CCUACGGGAGGCAGCAGUGAGGAAUAUUGGUCAAUGGGCGCGAGCCUGAACCAGCCAAGUCGCGUGAGGGAAGACGGUCCUAUGGAUUGUAAACCUCUUUUGUCGGGGAGCAAAAGACGCCACGCGUGGCGUUCCGAGAGUACCCGAAGAAAAAGCAUCGACUAACUCCGUGCCAGCCGCCGCGGUAAUACGGAGGAUGCGAGCGUUAUCCGGAUUUAUUGGGUUUAAAGGGUGCGCAGGCGGAAGAUCAAGUCAGUGGUAAAAUUGAGAGGCUCAACCUCUUCGAGCCGUUGAAACUGGUUUUCUUGAGUGAGUGAGAAGUAUGAGGAAUGCGUGGUGGAGCGGUGAAAUGCAUAGAUAUCACGCAGAACUCCGAUUGCGAAGGCAGCAUACCGGCGCUCAACUGACGCUCAUGCACGAAAGUGUGGGUAUCGAACAGGAUUAGAUACCCCAGUAGUC
rnacentral:rRNA from 1 species